ACUCCUACGGGAGGCAGCAGUGGGGAAUAUUGGACAAUGGGCGAAAGCCUGAUCCAGCAAUGCCAUGUGUGUGAAGAAGGCUCUAGGGUUGUAAAGCACUUUAGUUGGGGGAGGAAAGCUUAUGAGUUAAUAGCUUGUAGGAAGGACGUUACCCAAAGAAUAAGGACCGGCUAACUCCGUGCCAGCAGCCGCGGUAAUACGGGGGGUCCGAGCGUUAAUCGGAAUUACUGGGCGUAAAGGGUCUGUAGGUGGUUUGUUAAGUCAGAUGUGAAAGCCCAGGGCUCAACCUUGGAACUGCAUUUGAUACUGGCAAACUAGAGUAUGGUAGAGGAAUGGGGAAUUUCUGGUGUAGCGGUGAAAUGCGUAGAGAUCAGAAGGAACACCAAUGGCGAAGGCAACAUUCUGGACCGAUACUGACACUGAGGGACGAAAGCGUGGGAUCAAACAGGAUUAGAUACCCUGGUAGGACAGUG
rnacentral:rRNA from 1 species